AUAAAUUCCUCAUUUCUUUGUUCUUCUCCACCAUUUUAUCUUCUAAUUCUUCUUCUUUAAUAUUAUAACAAAUGAAGAGUGAUCGUUCUUUUUAAAUUCAAUUUUUGGAAUUCGACUAAGAACUCUGGCAAGCUUUGAGAAAAUCCUCACUUGUUCUUACAAAAGAUGGUGCUUUGAUUCUCAAUGGGUUGUGCUACUUUUUGUUUCAAGGACCGUCGGGCCUUAAGUGGCACCCCAUCUAUGGAUGGCAACCCGGAAGACCGUUUGUGUGAUAACGGUGGCUGGCAUCGGACUACCCUGACGUUGGCGCUGGUCUUGUAAAUAGUAGAGUAAUUUUAUCUUUGUUUAAAUGAAUGGCAGCUUAAUUGUUUAAUUUGGAAUGAAUAUUUUACAUGAAUUUCAUACUUCAGUUUGAGGUUCUAUUGUUGAUUUUAUCUUGACACUUUAUAAUUUAUAUCUUGGCACUUGGUUAUUGUUA